UACGUAGGGUGCGAGCGUUAAUCGGAAUUACUGGGCGUAAAGCGUGCGCAGGCGGUUUGUUAAGACAGGUGUGAAAGCCCCGAGCUUAACUUGGGAAUUGCGCUUGUGACUGGCGUGCUGGAGUGUGGCAGAGGGAGGUGGAAUUCCACGUGUAGCAGUGAAAUGCGUAGAGAUGUGGAGGAACACCGAUGGCGAAGGCAGCCUCCUGGGCCAGCACUGACGCUCAUGCACGAAAGCGUGGGGAGCAAACAGG
rnacentral:rRNA from 1 species